UAAUACGUAGGGUGCAAGCGUUAAUCGGAAUUACUGGGCGUAAAGCGAGCGCAGGCGGUUGUGUAAGACAGAUGUGAAAUCCCCGGGCUCAACCUGGGAACUGCAUUUGUGACUGCACGGCUAGAGUGCGUCAGAGGGGGGUGGAACUCCACGUGUAGCAGUGAAAUGCGUAGAGAUGUGGAAGAACACCGAUGGCGAAGGCAGCCCCCUGGGAUGACACUGACGCUCAUGCUCGAAAGCGUGGGGAGCAAACAGG
rnacentral:rRNA from 1 species